AGGAUAAUUAAAUAAAAUUUGCAAUUUUAUUUUAUUGAUUAAAUCAAUUUAUCUUA
rnacentral:tRNA from 1 species